rnacentral:tRNA from 1 species
UAAGCAGUUUAAAUAAUAAUCUUUAGUGCUAGUUAUACAUUAAUUUUUAAUUACUGCUCAA